rnacentral:lncRNA from 1 species
CUUUGCCACCUGCACCUCAGAUAGAGCAUACUCUCCAGGAUAUACAAAGAACUCAAAAAACUUAACAUUAAAUCAUCAUCAUCAUCAUCAUCAUCAUCAUCAUCACCCAAUCAAUAAAUGAGCCUAGGAGCUGAACAGGCACUUCACAGAAGAAAUACAAAUGGUCAACAAAUAUAUGAAAAAACGUUCAAUAUUUCUAGCAAUUAGAGAAUGCAAAUUAAAACAGAGUGGCUAUUAUCAAGAAUACAAGUAACAAUAAAUGUUGGUGAGGUAUACUCAUACAUUGUUGGUGGGACUGCAAAUUGAUGCAACGCUGGAAAGCAAUAUGGAGAUUCCUCAGAAAACUUGGAAUGGAACCACAAUUUGACCCAGUUGUCCCACUCCUCAAUGUAUAUCCAAAGGACUUCAAAUCAGCAUACUACAGUAAUACAGCCACACCAAUAUUUAUAGCAGCUCAAUUCGUAAUAGCAAAGCUAUGGAACUAAUCUAGGUACCCUUCAACAAAUGAAUGGAUAAAAAAUGUGGUAUGUAUACACAAUGGAAUAUUACUCAGUCAUAAAGAAGAUUGAAAUUAUGGCAUUUUCCAUUAAAUGGAUGGAACUGGAGACUGCCAUACUAAGUCAGUCAGUCCUGAAAAACCAAGGACUGAAUGUUCUCUCUUAUAGGGGAAGAUAAUAGAAGUUCAUCGGAUUAGACAGAGAGGAGUGAAGAGAAGGGAGGGAGAAUGAAAUAGUAGAAUGAAAC